CCUACGGGUGGCAGCAGUGGGGAAUAUUGCACAAUGGAGGAAACCCUGAUGCAGCGACGCCGCGUGAGCGAGGAAGUCUUUCGGUAUGUAAAGCUCUAUCAGCAGGGACGAAAAAAGACGGUACCUGACUACGAAGCCCCGGCUAACUACGUGCCAGCAGCCGCGGUAAUACGUAGGGGGCAAGCGUUAUCCGGAUUUACUGGGUGUAAAGGGAGCGUAGACGGGAAGGCAAGACAGAAGUGAAAGGGCUGGGCUCAACCCUGGACAUGCGGUUGGAACUGGGGGGCUAGAGUGCAGGAGGGGAAAGUGGAAUUCCUAGUGUAGCGGUGAAAUGCGUAGAUAUUAGGAGGAACACCAGUGGCGAAGGCGGCUUACUGGAGUGUAACUGACGUUGAGGCUCGAAAGCGUGGGGAGCAAACAGGAUUAGAUACCCCUGUAGUC
rnacentral:rRNA from 1 species